rnacentral:tRNA from 1 species
GGGGACUUAGCUCAGUGGUAGAGCACUUGCUUAGCAAGUGCAAGGCCCUGGGUUCGGUCCCCAGCUCCG